rnacentral:rRNA from 1 species
UACGUAGGGUGCGAGCGUUAAUCGGAAUUACUGGGCGUAAAGCGUGCGCAGGCGGUUUUGCAAGCCGGAUGUGAAAUCCCCGGGCUUAACCUGGGAAUGGCAUUUGGGACUGCAAGGCUGGAGUGCGGCAGAGGAGACUGGAAUUCCUGGUGUAGCAGUGAAAUGCGUAGAUAUCAGGAGGAACACCGAUGGCGAAGGCAGGUCUCUGGGCUGACACUGACGCUCAUGCACGAAAGCGUGGGGAGCAACAG